CUGCGCCCGCGGCCGGGGGUGGGGCGGCGGCUAGGCGGAGUGAGCGCCGAGUCCCGCCGAGGGGCCGGACUGCUCCGGGGGAAAAAAAAGAUUCUCGCGGCCGCCAUCUCCGCGUCCUGGUCCAGAUAGUCUCGAAGUGCGAUCACCCUUCAGGCCGGCUAUAAUCCAGUCUGGCACUCAAGCUUCAGUCAAAAGCCCCCACCAUCACCCUGCCCCAACUCUUGGACUCUGAUUGAGGAGCCUGUUGAGAGGAGAUGACAAAUUGGCUGAAGUUAAUCCCUGUGAGUGUGAAUGUGUUUCAAUAAAUGAAGUGUGUCUGAAGUAGAAACGGUUUGCCUUUAGAUGGUGUACUAAACACCAUUUCCCACGCACCGUGAACGUAUGCGUUGUAGAUUGUCAGGUGGUCUGAAUCGGCCAUAGCCAAAGCUGAUUUUGCAAGAUCUGCCUCAUCUUUGCGACCAAUUGGUGUAGUAAAAGGAGACUUCUCGGUCAUCACUGCAGCUAGUGUUGCCUAUCCAUAAAUAACCAAAACAUUUAUCAGUAAAGAAGUAUACAUGGAAGGCUUUUCACAUCAAUUAUCAUGACAGAGGUUAUUUUUUGGAUCAGCACAAUUCUGAAAGGGGUAAAGAAUGAAAAAAUAGCAUCUGAAUUCCUUCGGCAUUACCAUAAUAUGAAGACAUAAUUCCUCCAAAGGCACACGCAAGAUUUCAGGGACAGAAUAGUCCAUAAAGCCUUCAAAUCUGA